UAUAAAUUGUCCAUUGUUGCUGCAGUGUAUUUGUGGUUGGUUUAACUUAAGUUCCUGCUUAUCUCUGCUGCAAUUUAAACAUCGAAAGAUGUUGCUGUUGUACCUGUUGUUGUUGCAGACGUGUCUCAUGUUGCUGCUUUUUAGAAAUGGCCUAUUGUUGAUGAAGCGUCUUUUGUUGCUGGCUUAGCCCAAGUUUCAAUGGUUUUAUUUAUCUGACUGCAGUUUAGACUUUAAGCGAUGUUGCCUUUGUUGCUGCAUUGCCUUUAGUUGAUAAGUUUGCUGCUACUCUGCCGAUAUGGUCUUUGUGUCUUGCUUAUUAUUGUUUCCUCUGGUGGCUGCUUUGUGAAGUUGCUCCUGGCUUUGUUGCUUCUGUAUAAAUGGUUAUAUCGGUAUUGCUAUUGUAUAGGGAAGUAUAAUAUUUUUUGUUUUGAUCAUACUAUGGUUGAUAUUCUUUUUCAGAUUGGUAUUUCUCCCGUUCUUGAUAAUUGCUAAUAAUUUUAUGGAAGCUGAUAUAUACUGCGACUGCUAGGUGUGUGGAUCCUGAUUCUUCUUUAAACUUUGCUAUAAUUUAAGCCGUCUUAACUUUAAUAUUUGUUGCGGUUGCAGCUGUGUCUGGUCUUGUCGCUUUUGAAUCUGUUAUCAAUUCUAAUGCUUGGGGAGCGUGCAAGGCUCUUAACUUGAAGCUUGGCAAUUUCCAGUUGAUUGGCUGCACUUCUCGAGAUUUUCGAUAUAUCAAGACGAGGGAAUUUGCAUGCAGAAAAUGAUGCUUGCUGGCAGCCAGGAUACUUACGACCAAGAGGAACCCGGAGCAGCUGCAGCUCGGCCAUCUCCACCAGUUGGCCUUAUGGUGCAAAUGGCCGGGUUUGGCGAUGCGAAAAGUGAAAAUGCAGUUUCGCAUAAUUUGAUCCCUCCCCAACCCCCUGGCAUAUCGCUCUCCGUUGCUGCUGCUGAUAGUUCUGGGUGCUGCGUCCCGGUACUGAGUCCUACAUCCUGCCGUCUGGUGGCAAGACAAUGCCAGUUCUAAUCGUAAUCAUGGUUGCAAUGUAAUGGCAAAAUGCCAAGAGCCUUCCUCUGCUGCGCUCACCUCUCUCUCGUUUCUGCUUCGGUGGUUGUCCUUCGCUGGAAUUGCACUUUUUAUGGCAUUGCAAUUAGGGGUAAGCGCAUCGAUGCACACACACAGAUACAUUCAGAUAGCGAGGUAAGGGUGCAAGGGCUGCGCACAGCUAAGGGUUGUUAAUUAUCUACUGAGAGGUGAACAGCAGGCACCCAUACCAAGGCAACAAUUAUCUGAGAGUUCUAAAUUGCAACUGCCCAGAAUACCAAGCAAAUAGUUGUUGGCAUAACUUGGGCGCAACGUUAUUAUAUGGUAGGAUAUCGUAUGAACUUAUUAAAGAGUAUACUAAAUCUUUAAGGAUACUUUUGACAGUAUUUCAUGAGGAAUAUUCAUGAAGUGUUUUUAAGCGCAUACCAAACAUGAUACACAUGCUUAUGUAAGAUAAAUGACCACGAUACUAUUAAAUACUAAUAUAAAAUAACAAAAAAAUAGUCAGUAUUUAUAUAAUUUUUUAAGAACCUUAGAUUUAAUCUCAUUCGAGUUAAACUCAGUGUUGGGCUGGUUUCCCAAAUUCUUUUGAACAAGAAUUUUUAAUAUAAGUCAAGUGCCGAAGUGUGUUAUCAACAAACGAUUUAUGAAAUGGGAAAACCCACAAUAAAAUCCCCAGGGCCAGUUCUGAUCCAAGUCAGAGUGGAAUGCAAAGGUGAAGGGGCAUGGCUGGGACGGGGGAAUGGGGUCGAUUGGUCCACUGUCGUUGUAUUUGCGCAUUGUGCAGAAAAGUCGUAAAAAUUUCUGCUGUCUACGUUCGAAAUGAAUGGGGAGAAAUGAGAAAAGGCCGCCACGCUGCUGGCUUUUCUUCUUAUUUUCCGGGGCAGACCGACGAAGAGUUCUUGUAAAGUUUACGAGCGCAAAUAUAAUUCAAAUGGUCGUUAAUUGCAACAACAGCGAAAGAGGCUCAUAAAUGGAUUGGAUACCCGGUUGGAAAAGUGGGCGGGGUUAUAUACUUACAACCUCCCCAACCAGACAGCAACAACAAAAAGCUAAGGCAGCUGGGACUGGAGAGCUUUUUUGCAGCCGGAAAAGCACAAAAGCAAAACAAAGGCCCAAGCACGUGGUGGGGAUAUUUCGAUGGCUAUAUUUCGAAAUUUCCCGAUUUCGAUUCAGUAAGCGUUACUGGCUUGGCCAAAAAGUACCAAAGAGGUUAGAUUUCGACUGGGCGUGUGUGUGUGCGCGCCCCAGGGAAAUUUCGAAGCACGUGCGUGUGAGUUGCGCAUGAACGGUACACCAAUACUUUCGAGCAGAAACCCCUCACAGAUACUCCUCACACAGAUACUCUACUGUACUGGGGCUACGAUAUCUGUGAGAUACGCACAGAUACGGCGGCAGCGCCGCCGGCGUCAAUGUCGACGUCGCUGCCGGCGUUUGAGAGACCGAGCGGCGUGCAAGAAAUCGUCGGGCAACGGCUUCAAAUGAACGCAAAACGUUGGAAAGCAAACAACCGCAAAAAGGCCAUCAGCUAAAAAUAAAACUACAACUAUCUAAGUGAAUCUGUAGAGAAAGAGUGAUAGCUCAGUGUGCCCAGUGUUUAUUUAAUUACUUAUUUAAAUUUUAUUUACAAUAUAAGUUGUGAUUUUGUUCGUUUGUUUGUUUCCCCAUUAAAUCUCAUCGCGGAACUGGUUUGCAUUUUGUAUCUUUUAUCGCUGCAGUUCGUUUCUGUGUGGAUAAAAGUGAAUGAAACCCUAACGUUUAAACGCCGCCAUAAACACCAAAUAACAAAUUUUCUGGCAAACAUGGCAUGUCACGGUCCCAUUAAACGUGGAAAAUCGGCCCAGAAAUUCAACACGACGACAACUUUUUCGACUGUCCCAGAAAGCAAAUAUGUAUAGUGUAUUUGUGUGCGUGCCAUUGACAUUGACUUAUGGUCAUGAAGGGGUUAGGGGAGGGGGAUAAGGGUGGGGGUUGCUGGUUAAAGGGGGGUCUCGCCGCUACGACAAAAACUUGGAUUCUCUCGUUUCUUUUUCGUCUUUCGUCUUCCACGCACAUUUAUGGUUUGUUUUGCUCACACACACACUCAUCCCAUAGAAAAGCCUACGCAGCGGCAGAAAGAGAGGGCACAAGCAGCAGAGAAAGAGACGAAACAUGUCUCGGAUGAUGAUAAACGCCUCUCGUCUAUUUUGGCGGGUCCAUGAAUGAAACAAUUGCUCCGAAUGACUGACUGCCAGACAGACAGCUACAAACUGCCCUUACGGGGGGCAAAUUGGGGUAUUUUGGGUUUUGGAGGCUUUGAGGAACCGGGACCUGAGGGCCCGGAAAGCCGACAGCAAUAAAUGCUGUGCUACGACAAAAGUCUGAUGAGACAGACCAUCAUGAUGCUCAUCAUCGUGGGCGAUAAUAAUGAUUUUCAUUUGCACAUUCCACCCGCUUCGCUGUUGCCGGCUUCCAGCAUUCAGAUUCAGUGUGCAUUCAGUGGGGCAGGUUAUUUAUGGCACUUUUCCUAUCGCCACUCACUGGGGUAAUCGAUUUUUAUUGGAUUAAUAUUGCUUUCCGCAUGAUUUGGCCUUCUUUUCGUUAUCACUUAGCAGGUUUCUUGACGCUGAGGAGUGGACAAUGACUAAGACUCAGUCAACUGGAAAAGCUGGACCAAGGACAUCCAUAUAUGGCGGAAUAGAAGGACACGUCUUAUGUGACAAGUGCUGGCUAAACGUCUGUGGUUAUCGCAAUCAUUUUCGAUUUUCGAACCCCAUCCCUGUUGAAAAAUCAGCCGGACAGCAGCAACCACCGAACACAAGACACAGGACGACCGGAAGUGAGGAAAACGCUUGUAAAAUCGGUCGCACACGAGUGCGAGCGAGACACGAGCGAACGGGCCGAAAGGAAACGACAAUUACGAGGACACGCCGGCUUGCUUUUCUGCUUUUCCUGUCUGCUCCUUUCAGUUGCGGCCGUGCAAUCGUCGGGUCAACAACGCCGCGUGUCCGAUUUCGAUCUACAAAUGAAAAUAUAAAUCUUCACAUCUGUAUUUGGUUUCAUCUUUAUCUGCAUCUAGAUCCGCGACACGGCAUAAUUUUCAGCACUUUUGGAUAAUGGCGAUUCUGUGCGACCUCGUAAACGUAUACUGAAUGUAUCCUGAGUGUAUCCUAUCCGGUAUACCUUCAGUAUACGUAACACGAGAUAGCACGAGCAACGUGGGAUGUGAAACACUUUUAAUACACUUUAAUACACGUAGCACUUUGUUAUAUGGUUUUACACUUUUUUAAAUAUCUCUACUAAGAAAUACAUAAUUUAAAUAUAAAUACUUCAAUAAAUGCCCGAUAUAAAGUUAAAAAACACUUUCGAAUUUUACUGGGUGUCUGGGAAAGUUUUUUGGCACGCAACCUGUUGCUUUUGAACGUGGGACCAGAUGGAUGAACAGCUGAUUCAAACUUCAACGAGCGGCAAUUAUUAUGCAGCCAUGUUAUUAUAUUAUGAAUUAAAGUAUUUUUCUAAGACAAAUAUUAAAGGUUAUAGAUAAGAAGGCUCAAUUAAAAACUUGUAUUAAGCAUAUACACAUAUAGUUUUUGAAGUAUCAUACACAGAAAGCCUUUCAUUUGACUUAAGUCAAAAUUAACAAUUAGGUUCACACAAUUUUUUGUUACGGCCAUAAAUCUCUGUGUCAUGAAACCGCAUUUAAUAUACUCAUUAAAUAUUUUAGCUGGUCUCUUCAUGCAUUUUUCAACACGCCGUAAAUUAUUUAAGGAAGCAAUAAAAUUGGCUUGCGUUGUGACAACUUAAUCUUUUAAAAUAUAUAUUUAUACAUUUAUAAAUAUAUAAGCGUAUAAAUAUAUUUAUAUAUAUCAUAUAUUUAUAUGAUAGCGUAUGAUAAGAGUAUUUUGACGGAUAUCAAAAGAAAGUCUUGCAUUAUGAUAACAAAAAAUUAUACGCCUAUAACUAUUAUAAAAGGUCAUUAAAAAAAUUUUCAACAAAAAUCAAAAUCUUUAUUAAAUAAACCAAAUAAAACAACAGUUUUUAAUCUUAUCUUUUACAGAGCCCCUGGCGGGCAUAUGGGAAAACAAUGCAGCGCCCUCUCGUGCGCUAUUUCUGUACUAGAAACUUUCAAUGCGCAUAAUCUAUUUUCACGGAAAGCAAAUUCGGGGUUGAAGAAUGGUUUCUUAUAAGAAAGGGGCUGCGAAAUAUUGGCGAAUUGAGCGAAUUGGCACUGUUACCAUAAUACGAUAUGUGUUUUAAGGCAGUUGGGCGUACAUUAAAGCACAUGCCGAUUUUAUAUCUAUAUUUUGGGACUACUUUUCUUACUUUUACAAAUGCAAAGAGUAGUUUAGUUUUUAUUAGAUUUUUAAAGGUAUGCUCAAAAAUGUAUUUAAUAUU
rnacentral:sRNA from 1 species